rnacentral:rRNA from 1 species
AUUGAACGCUGGCGGCAGGCCUAACACAUGCAAGUCGAACGGUAACAGGAAACAGCUUGCUGUUUCGCUGACGAGUGGCGGACGGGUGAGGAAUGUCUGGGAAACUGCCUGAUGGAGGGGGAUAACUACUGGAAACGGUAGCUAAUACCGCAUAACGUCGCAAGACCAAAGAGGGGGACCCUCGGGCCUCUUGCCAUCGGAUGUGCCCAGAUGGGAUUAGCUUGUUGGUGGGGUAACGGCUCACCAAGGCGACGAUCCCUAGCUGGUCUGAGAGGAUGACCAGCCACACUGGAACUGAGACACGGUCCAGACUCCUACGGGAGGCAGCAGUGGGGAAUAUUGCACAAUGGGCGCAAGCCUGAUGCAGCCAUGCCGCGUGUAUGAAGAAGGCCUUCGGGUUGUAAAGUACUUUCAGCGGGGAGGAAGGGAGUAAAGUUAAUACCUUUGCUCAUUGACGUUACCCGCAGAAGAAGCACCGGCUAACUCCGUG